rnacentral:rRNA from 1 species
UACGUAGGGCGCAAGCGUUGUCCGGAAUUAUUGGGCGUAAAGAGCUCGUAGGCGGUUUGUCGCGUCUGCUGUGAAAGCCCGGGGCUCAACCCCGGGUCUGCAGUGGGUACGGGCAGACUAGAGUGCAGUAGGGGAGACUGGAAUUCCUGGUGUAGCGGUGAAAUGCGCAGAUAUCAGGAGGAACACCGAUGGCGAAGGCAGGUUCUGGCGGUGUUACUGACGCUGAGGAGCGAAAGCAUGGGGAGCGAACAGGAUUAGAUACCCCGUGUC